UCAAAUCACUUCUAUUUCAUAGUCAAGAAUCACUUCUCAGCCAUAAGUGCAAGGACUCUCAAGGCUUUUUAACUUGCUUUUCCUCUCAUAGAUGCCUUACUGAAACCUUGGAGGCAGACUCUUGAUAUAACAAUCAAUGUUGCCAUAUUUUCAGUUUCUUCCAUUCCUCUAAGGAACUCUCUAGCUCUGUGUUGGGGCAGCAAAUGGGUUCAUAGAAAUGAGCCAACCAAAAAGAAUAAUUUGUGAGAAGUCAAAUGUUAAUGUAAUGUGAAUGCAGGCUUAAGCUUACAUGUGGCUGCAAAAUUUGUAUCAGUAGAAUUGACGGUUACUAGAUCUCAUUAUACUUUGUGUGCUUUUGGUGUUGAUGACAGUCCUUUUCUCAGGGCAAUGACUUAGAGGAAGAUACUUAUGUAACUGCUGUUUCUUAUGACGUGUCCUAGAAGACUCUUCGAUGACCCAUUCUAGUUACCUUCUACUUUUUAUUGAUAACGAUAAGACUCCUCUCAAGUAUAUUUUGCAUUUUAAUUGGGGAUGCUUAAAAGGAGUUUGAGAUUCAAAGACACUCAUAAUAGUAGAGAAUGAGCAGAGCAGAUGCCACCUUGGCAGAAGGACUUUUCUGACUCUCAAAUUACCUCCAUGUGAUUUCUCAGUGUCACACGGGAAGUCACUUAUUCUGUCACUUUAAGAACAGACUACCUUGAUGGGCCCCAUUUCUGCUGCACAAUUCUUUGACCUUGAUGGGAGAGUUUAUUUUUUUUCUUUUUUUCCUCCCUUGUUGAUAUAGCGUCAUAGCAAUCAAAGGAGCAGAAUCCAAUAGCAGGGAUUCAGGCCCAGGACAAGGCAAAUGGGCUUAAUUUUUUUUAGGGUCAAGCAGUAAUUUACCAAUCUGUCAGUUUGUCUUCUGUUCUCUGUCUUGAGUCAUAAUUGUAUGAAACAGAAUGAAAACAAAAUAGGCUUCAUUUUCAGGUCUUUGUAUUUACAGUGGAAUUUAUCAGAUGGCCCUCUAACCCCUAUAAACAAGAACUUGUCGAGGCUUAGAAUUCAUAAAAUUCUUUGAAUUUGACUCUUCUUCCUUAGCCUGAUGUACAAGUUAAAAAUGGGCAAAUAUAAUGUCCAUAGGACGAAAUAGCAGCAUUUAUUAAAACAUUCAUGUUAGAGGAAAAGACAUCAAAAUAUUUUUGGUCAAAGAUAUUUAAUCUUUCGCUACACAUUAGAUGUCUUUUCACAUGAGCUUUAAAUAUGUAAUUUAGGGGAUCACAGUCCUAUGCAGAUAGCUAAAACGAUGAUCUGUUUGGCAAUCCACUUUAGAACACAUACCAACUUCAUUUCCUUCCCAGGGUGCCAAGUUGAGAUUUAUUCCUGUGUAGGGGUAGGUGACUCGCAUUAGUUACCUCCUGCUAUGUAAGAAGUGACCCCUAGAUUCAGUGGCUUAAAACAAAGUGAAUUUUUAUCUCACGGUUCUAUUGGUCGAUAUUCUGGGUAGAGCAAACGGGACCUUCUACUCCAGGGAUUUUCACAGGCUGUAGCCAAGGUACCAGCCAGGCUAGAGUCAUCCUAAAACUCAGUUGAGGAAAGAUUUGCUUCCAAGAAGCAAAUCUGACACUUUCCCAAGUGUAAUGUUUAAAAAAUAUUCUUAAUAAACGGAUACUCCAAAGUUACAAAGUACUGAUUCCUCCAGGUGAAAAAUAAACUACGACUCAUUUUAAUUUUGGCUCAGAGGAGCCUGAUUUUCUCCACCUUAAGAGAACUGAUCAUCAGGCAGAAUGAAAGAGCUGAGGUAUUAUUGCUUUAUAGGAUGGUUACAGAUAACAGGGCUGCCAUGCUAGGUUUCUUCAUUGAGCUCGUUUUUUCCAGAAACGCAAACUUCCUGGCCCACCUAGAGACUUGCAGCAUGUCCAAACAAAUGCAGUGCUUCCACUUAAUAAAUAGUUGAGAAUGAAAAUUAAUUUCAGGUCUUUCACUGAUAAGGAACAUAAAAUUGUCAAAACAGCUUUUUGGGUUGAAGCUAGGCUUUAUAAAUAUUUACUCAAAGACGAAAAACUGAAUAAUGAGCAGUUUAAUCUAUUCUUCCUUAUAUGCUUUAGUUCCACAGAAGCCAGUGGGAAGCUCUGAUCUUGCUAAGAAGAUAUCCAACCGAGUAAAAAUUGAGGAGUAGUGGGAAAAUCGAGGGUGAAAUCAGUGCUACUUACAUGUAAUGGAACUAAUUUCUCCCUCCUUGGAACUCUGUUAGCAUUCUUAAUACCCCAGUUAGUAGAUAUUUCAAAUACAAAACUUCUGUCUACUAAGUUCAUUCAAGCCAUCAUUCUCUUUUGACCUCACCACAAAAAUAGCCUCCUAACUAGUCUGUCUCCUUAAUGCCUCUGCUUCGUUAAAAAAGCCACAAGGAGAAAUCUAGCACAGUGGUGUGGGACGUCAGUAGCGGGAAAUGUUGUGUAUGUGGAGGGACAUACGGUAUAUAGGAACUCUUUGUACUUUCUACUACAUUUUACUGUGAACCUAAAAUGUGCUGUAAAAUAAGUUUAUUAAUUUGAAAAAAGGCCACAAGCAUUCUUUCGAAACAAAGCCAGGUCAUUUUUUCUUUUCCUUCUCUGCUCAAUAUCUUCCAAAACUUCCCAUCCCUAUCAAAAUAAAAUUUAACAUCCUUACCAUAACCCGUAAGCUGUAUAAGAUCUGGCCUAGGGUAUUUCUCUGCCACCCUUCCAGCCGCCCUCUACCCGUUCUUUCAUUUUUGACAAACUGGCUUCCUCAUUACUCCUCAAGUGGACCGGUUGUGCCCCUCCUUCUGAGGUAUUGCCUGUUCUGCUCUAACGGCAUUCUCUCCUAGAUAUCUGCAUACACUGUCCUCUUCGAUGUACGUCAGAGGGGGACCACAUAUCUUGCAGAAGAGGCCCUUGCUCAUCAUCAUCGAAUCUAAUAGAGUCCCAGAAGAGGGAAGCAAGUGUGCCACACAAGGGCCAUAGGGGAGAAACUCCAAGGGAACAGUUUCUCACAUCAAGAGACAGAGGAGAGCAUCCCCUCCCUCAAAUCUGGAUUAUCCAACUUGGUUGGGGCCAAAACAAUGCAGUGGAAGUGACAAGCCAGGGCAGCAUACAUAAGUCAUGUGGGAUUUGAAGAGAUUUGCUUUCUUUUUCCUGGAAACAGAAAGCUUUUUGGUUCCUUUUUCAUGGGAAGGAGCAAAAGACAACACUACCUGGAAAAUGUCCUUGAUAUGUAUCAGAGGAAGAUUUUCUAACUUACAGAAAUAAGCCAGAAAGUUCAUGAAAGCCUCCUUCCUAGAGCACAUGGUUAUGGGGACACCACAUAAUCAUACUAUCACCGAGCUAAAGCACAUAAUAAAAAGUAGAGAAGACUCCUGAAUUCUGAUCUUGAAUCACAAUACACAAAAGUGAUAAAAGACAAAUAGACAAAAUUAUAAUUGCUGGUUAACAAUGUUUUUAUAUAGAUACAUCUUUUUCUCUUUUUCCUUAGAUAUAGUGCUGCAGUUAGGAAUUUAUUAUAACAAGCUUAAAUCAUAAUUUAGAUAAUAGGCUUUAGAAUUUUUAAGACUAUUAUUGUGAUACACACGCAAACAAAUAUAAACAUCUAUAUAUACUCACGUGUGUGUGUG